GGGGUGUAGAUGGCAGAGGGCAUCCUCAGAGCUCGUUACAGGAGAGCUCUGCUGUUCCAUUCAGUUCACGCUUCCCAGGCCUCUGUGCAGUGAUGGAGGCCCACGUGGACCAUGGAUGCUGCAGGUUUCCACGGGUUGUGUGAGCCCAUGUCUCAUUCAGCCUCUCUCUCCCUUUUACCUUAGACUGGAGGCUGGCUUCUCAAGGGAAUAUUCUGCUGGUUCCCAAUGAUGCUAAGGAUAUAGAAGUAUUAGCAGCGCUAUUGAGUUUAGUUUCCCAUGUUUAUCGAGAGUUUGACAAUUUUUCUCUUUCAGGUUGAAUAAAUAAAACAGAACGGGGCAAGUCAUAUAUCUCUAUACACUAGGAAAGUGGAGGUAGUCUGAUGAAACUACUGAAAAGUCUGAAGUGUCACAUUUGUGAAGGGAUGAUGUUUUAUGACCCUCUGGUAUGUAGUCUACUCCUCAGUUGUUGCUAAGUAGACGUCUUUCAGAAUCUUUAACAACAAGCGUAUUCGAUAUUUUGUAGUGAUCUUUCCUUUAAUAAAUACGUAUUUUGGAAGCCUCAGAUGCUGGGGCUACAGUGAGGAUGAGACAGAGUCCAUGCUUUCACUGGCCUUCAAGUCUAGGGGAGUGUUCAUUGUUAAAGAAGUGUACACCUCUACAAAGAGAAAUGUGUAAAUUCAGACCGUGACCAGCUCUUCAGUGUUAGGAAGAAAAGAAAAAGAAAGUACGGUGAAGAAUGACUAGACAGUCGGAGAUGGUGUGUACUUUAGGCGGUAACCUCUGAUCCUCGAGCACAGUAAUGAGAAGGAGCCCGUUCUGUAGAGAUUCCAGGGCCGACACAACAGCAAGAGCAAGGCCCUCGGAUGGGCCUGAGCUGGGCCCAUUCAAGGAACAGAAAAAAGACAAAAGCAGCCAGAGCCCAGUGAGUGAAAAAGUGUCUGGCCUUGACGUUGCAGGUGAGCUGAGACUGAGACAUUCAACCCUGUGGCCCCGAUGAAAAGCCCAAAGGUCGCCCUGUGUGGGAUGGACUGCUGCUUUAGGAUCUGUGUGCAUACAGUGUGUUGAAAACACUCAAGUUCAUGUAUGCAGUAUCCCUUGCAUCGUUAAGUUGCUUGGCUAAUCUCUCUUUAUGCAGAGCAUGGAGGGGAAAAAUCAGCAUAUAUUGGAUUUUCACGAGAAUUCUGAGACGAUUCCAGUUGGAAUGAAAUCAAAUGCCAUUCUGUGCCGGACAGCAUUGCAAUGGAUGUCACGGGCAGUUAUCCGCACUGGCUCUUAAUCUCAUUUGGGGUGAGGAAUUUUCCUUGAGCAGUUCAGAAGGGAGCAGCCUUCUCUUGUGUGUAUUCUCUCGCUAUCUGCACUGAGUGCUGAGAUCCCAGAAACCACCCCGAGCCCCAGCAUGUCUGCUUUGUCAUAAACUUCCAAGCGGUGGCUGGGGCUUGCUUUCACAGAAAAUGCAGAUGACGCAUUUGUGUUUGUCGCUUCUAAGCCGGCCUGAGUUAUGCCGCUGCCGGGGGUGGUUGGCGUCAAACCAGCUUCUGAGAUGCUUGUAGCAUCUCUGGUGUUUGGGUCACUCUUUCUCUGUGGGUUCCUGAGCUUACACUGAUAAGUAAAGCCACGUUUGCUUUGUGAAGCUCAGCAGUUCUCAGCAGUAAAGAGAUAAGACAGAGGGAAAAAAAUAAGUAUCUUUGGGAGAAAAGAAGCUAUUUCUGUUUGUAACAGGCCCUAAGUACACUUUUUUGAAGACUUUGUUGAAAUUUCCCAAUCUCACACUGCAUUUACUCGGAUGUCUGCAAUGUCCCAUAAACUUUGACGUUGGACGCAGGGUUUGACUGACCUCUUGUCGCUGGUAGCACCAUUUCAUCUGUCAGAAGCACCAUAUUUUCAGAACGUAAGCUGCAGAAUGUUAGCCAGGAGUGGGGACAUUGAUUUUAGAGAAUUAGGAAAUAAAUGUAAUUCAUGCUCAGUUGGGGAGUGGCUGCAUUUGCUGUCGAGACCCCUGGAUCUAGGAGACCCUCUUUUGAGUUUUCAGGAGUCACUGCCUCCCAAGUCCCGCCAGCUUUGUGCUGGAAAUUUAUUGAAAUCAUCUUUGAUACUCACAGCAACCCAGCGAGUAGGCACAAAUACUCUCCUGGUCUUGCAGAUGAGACAACUAAGCCAUCAAGAGGUUCGGUACUUGCCCAGGCAGAGAGGGGCAGGCAGGCUCUGCCCUGGCCCCGCUGCCUGCUUUGCUUGUGCUCCGAGCUGGGAGCCUUCCUCCUUGAAGCCAGUAUUCAAGGAUCCAGACAAGAUCUUAAUUGGGUCCCAUGAAGUUACCUCUUGUUAAGAAAAUGAUUCGUACCUGGGAGCGAGCACCGGAGAGCGGAGGAUCGAAGCUCUAGAUGGUGUGUAAGUGGCAUUUAAUUUAUCCAGGACAUCAACCAUCCUCAUCCCCAAAGCACUUCUUCCUUGGUCGGAUGGAUUUGUCUCCUCCGCAUCUCUGGAUAUUUCUCCAAAUGAGGCUCAGUCUUUCCCCAGAGUAUAUAGGCCAGCGGGGACCAGCUGUGCAGGGCUCUGCCACCUGCUGUUGCCUCGGUGAGUCAUGCUCACACCCUCCAGUCCCUACAGCUGGGGAAGCGGAGCCUAAGCCUGUUCUUCCAAACCUGUUAUCUUGUUAUUUCCAGUCCUUCCUCCACAGCUCCCCGCACGUGCACCUGCACUUACAUAUGCAAUUGGUCACUGACACACACAUAAUGACACAUAUACAACUACACACACACAUGUCACUGAAACACAUACAUGCACAACCACACAUAAACACAUGUACAGUUAGUCACUGACACAUGCACACACACACUCACACCUGCACACAUCUCUUAAUCUAAGUGCCUUUAAGCUUAAAAAAGAGAUUUGGGAAGUUCCCGUCGUGGUGCAGUGGUUAACGAAUCCGACUAGGAACCAUGAGCUUGCAGGUUCGGUCUCUGCCCUUGCUCAGUGGGUUAACGAUCCGGCGUGGCCGUGAGCUGUGGUAUAGGUCGCAGACGCAGCUCGGAUCCUGCGUUGCUGUGCCUCUGGCAUAGGCUGGUGGCUACAGCUCCGAUUCAACCCCUAGCCUGGGAACCUCCAUAUGCUGCAGGAGCGGCCCAAAGAAAUAGCAAAAAAAAAAAAA
rnacentral:lncRNA from 1 species